AGGGCUUGUUUGAUUGGCAGGAUUGGCCAAGUAGUCCCGGACUACUUGGCGGACUAACAAUACCAAAAAAAACCUCAGGACUCCUUAUCCCAUAUAUGCCGGACUAUUUGGUCUUUUUGGACUAGUAGUCCGAAGUCUAGUCUGGCCAUUUUCAAAAAACAAACGCGGGACGGGACUGGACUCAUAGUCCAGUCCCGCCUAGUCCGGCCUAAUCCGGUUAUCAAACAUGCCC
rnacentral:lncRNA from 1 species